CAGACUGCUGAGUACCAACAUGUCCAAAUACGACUCUGUGACAUUCUGGGUCAAACUGGUCAACGGAACCAAGGCCAGCUGUAUCACUGUUAAAAUAACCUCAGAUAACGCUGUUGUGUACUGCGACGGAUUUUCAAAGGAAAAAUAUGAAAUGACAUCCAACAUCUCCACUGUCUUUCUCAAGAUCAAACAUUUGGAAUUAUCUGACUCUGGACUUUAUUUUGUGGAUUUACGAAAGUGGACGUCCAAAUUUCAGUGUGAUACAUUUGCAUGUUAAAGAAGGCAGAGAUGGGCCACAUGAUGACAUGGACAGCAAGUGUAAAAAAGAGUCUGAUGGAACAGCAGAGCUGAUGAUUGUCGUGCUCGGUGGUCUGACUGUUGUCCUUGUAAUGGUCAUCAUAGGUCUGGUUGUUAAAAACAGGAAACUUCAGACAGCUGAUAAAGAAGGACAGAAUCCAGAGCAAAUAGAGAAUGCAGGCUCUGAUGACGUGAACUAUGCAGCAGUGGCAUUUCGACCAAAAACUAAAAGAAGAGAGCC